GUGGGGAAUCUUCCGCAAUGGACGAAAGUCUGACGGAGCAACGCCGCGUGAGUGAAGAAGGUUUUCGGAUCGUAAAGCUCUUUCGUUAGGGACGAACGUGCUCUUUGUAAAUAAUGAGGAGUAAUGACGGUACCUAAAUAAGAAGCCACGGCUAACUACGUGCCAGCAGCCGCGGUAAUACGUAGGUGGCAAGCGUUGUCCGGAAUUAUUGGGCGUAAAGCGCGCGCAGGCGGGAUAUCAAGUCUGUCUUAAAAGUGCGAGGCUCAACCUCGUGAGGGGACAGAAACUGGUAUUCUUGAGUGUCGGAGAGGAAAGUGGAAUUCCAAGUGUAGCGGUGAAAUGCGUAGAGAUUUGGAAGAACACCAGUGGCGAAGGCGACUUUCUGGACGAUGUCUGACGCUGAGGCGCGAAAGCUAGGGGAGCGAACGGGAUUAGAUACCCUAGUAGUCC
rnacentral:rRNA from 1 species